rnacentral:rRNA from 1 species
CUUGCUAUAGUAUGUGAGAGUGGCGCACGGGUGAGUAAUACAUGGGAACAUACCUUAAAGAGGGGGACAACAGUUGGAAACGACUGCUAAUACCGCAUGACGCAUAGGGGUCGCAUGAUCUUUAUGCCAAAGAUUUAUCGCUUCAAGAUGGCCUCGCGUCUGAUUAGCUAGUUGGCGGGGUAACGGCCCACCAAGGCGACGAUCAGUAGCCGGACUGAGAGGUUGAACGGCCACAUUGGGACUGAGAUACGGCCCAGACUCC